rnacentral:rRNA from 1 species
GACGAACGCUGGCGGCGUGCCUAAUACAUGCAAGUCGACCUUAGGGGCGAACGGGUGAGUAACAAGUGGGUAACCGGACCCUAAGAAGGGGAUAACAAUUGGAAACAGGUGCUAAUACCGUAAACGGAAGGAUGGACACGCGUGGCAUUAGCUAGUUGGGGAGGUAACGGCUCACCAAGGCCACGAUGCAUAGCCGACCUGAGAGGUGGAUCGGCCACAUUGGGACUGAGACACGGCCCAAACUCCUACGGGAGGCAGCAGUAGGGAAUCUUCGGCAAUGGACGAAAGUCUGACCGAGCAACGCCGCGUGAGUGAAGAAGGUUUUCGGAGCGUAAAACUCUGUUGUUAGAGAAGCGGUAUCUAACCAGAAAGCCACGGCUAACUACGUGCCAGCAGCCGCGGUAAUUC